rnacentral:tRNA from 1 species
GGAGAGGUGGCAGAGCGGCUGAAUGCACUGGUCUUGAAAACCAGCAAGGGUUUGUAGCCCUUCGUGGGUUCAAAUCCCACCCUCUCCGCCA